CGUUGCAAAUCAAAUUCAAAUUCAUAUAACACUUUAAUAAACAGGGUGCUGCCGGUCACGAGAGGGGCAAAAGAGAAAGAAAAAGAGAAGGCCAAGAGGUCUUCGGCCAUCCUUUUCCGGUCAGAUUUAUAUAAUUUUUCAGCUGUUUUGUUUGUUUUAUUAUUGAUGUUGAUUUUGUUUCUAUUUUGGGAGUUAUUUAUUCAGAGUUUCUUAUGAAUUUUGUCUCUGUUCGAAAGGAAGAUAUUGUUGUUAUCGACGCCGGCAUUUCGAGAUCGCGCCGCUACAUUGGCGAUCUCUAGUGUGAAGCAGUGAAGUUUAUUGCGUUGUUCUCCUUUAUGUGGUGUUAGAGUCUUCGAUCUAGUGAUGAUUCUAUAUUUAUUUUGGUGGUGGUGAUUUUGCUUAGCUUGGUGGUGGUGGUUGGAUGCUGAUAAAAGUAGUGGAAAGGUAAUGCGUGGCGGCUAUCUCAUCUGGAGACACUGACAGUAGAAUGGAUCGGUGAUCAGUGGGCUCACUGCUGCUUUUCUGGAAUUGGGCUGUGGGCUUGAUUUAUGGGUUUGGGUGUGCGUUCAUGGGUUUUCAGCUUAUGAGUAUUUGGGCUUUUGAAAAUAUCUGUUUUGGCCCAUAAAGCCUUCUAAUGUAAUAUCUGCCUAAUAUAAAAAUAAUUUGUGA